AAUGCAAAAAUCAUGCUCUACUACCUAAAUACGUACAAUAAUUAUCUAAAUUGACUGUUACCGUACAUAACUAUAGAUUCAUUGAGCAUAAAUUUUAUGCGUAAAUGACAAUAGAAAACAAAUUUCGCAGUCCAAAUAAUUGUAUUUACUCGACUAAAUAGUCUUAAUGAAAUAUGCUAAAAGUAAUUAGAGUUAUGUGAUUUUUGGUGGUGGCGUCGGUUAAUAACUGACAAAGCCCUCCUGGCUGCUGACUCCUCAAUGAUAACACAAAGGACAGCAACAUGUAUAGCAAAUACAUAGUUUAAAACCUUAAUAAUCAUAUGAAACAGAGAAACAUGCCGAGUAAAUAUAACCUUUCCUUGAGAAGAAUAAUAAAGAAAAAAUAAAACCUUUAACUUCGGUUACACGAAAGCUAGAAUUCCCUUCUCAAAUAUAAACUAACUGUGCUCGGUAAGCUUGUAUGGCAGCUAUAUGCUAUAGUAUCUUGAUCUGAAUAAUAUCUUCGAAGAUUGCAAAAAACCUUUAAUUAACCGCGAACAUUUUCGAGCGAUUACUUUUUACAACUUUCUAUAUGGAUUAACUAUUAUUAAUUCAAGUUUGACGAUGCCGUUCCAUUAAGGACUAGUAUUUAUCGAUGGUGUGGAGAAUUUAAUCUAGGUCGUAAGUUACUCCAAAACGAACUUCGUGAAGUACGUUCAAAAUCAGUUGUUCCGGAAACUAUUGAUGCUGUGCGCAAACUAAUAAAAGCUAGAUCGUCAAGUGACCUAUCGCGUGAUUGAAACAACUAAGAGCAUUAGUGAGACUAGCAUAUAUUGCAUGAAAAUUUCAGUCACUCAAGAAACGCCUCGUGACAAUUACUCGAAUUAAAUGUUAACAAAUACAAUAGCGGUGCCUCGUAACACGCCAAACUGAAAAAAAACUGAACUGGUCGCAACCCUACCAUUAAAACAACUCAGCGUAGUAAACUUUGAUUAAUACACAACCGGUUUUGUGCCAAUCGUCCUUCAAGAAAUCAGAAAAACUACCCGCGGAAUAAGGAUUACUCUUCAACACAACAAUACAAGCUCUCACACAUUGACUGGAACUCCUGCAUUUUUGAUUUGAUGAGUCAUCCACCGUACAGUCCUGACUUGGUACCGAAAGACUACCGUACGUAAAAAAUAAACUAAAAGAGAAGGGUCUCUCGACACCUGAAGAGGCAGUUGAUGCAAUUUGGUGAAGAUAUCUCGUCAAAUGAAAAAGUUUUCCACUUCAUUCCGAUAGGGUGGAAUAUUUCAGAUCGACAGACGGACAGAGGAAUGCAUUCAGCUCGUCACGCUCUUCAUUUGCAUUUAUACUUUAUAAGGUAUCUGACGUUUCCUUUUGGGUGUUACAAACAUCGUGGCAAACUAGUGGAUUCGAGUAAAUACAAUUAUAUACCCUGUUGAGUAUAUAAGAAGAAUGUACUCUUAUAUCGGCUGUUCCUUAGUUUACUUUGAGAUUUAUUCCCCUUUUUGCGCUGUACCUCACCUUUGGCAGUCAGUGUAUUCCGUUAUAGGUUUCCGAUAAGUACAUAUUAAUGUUUGCCGUUGUCACUGCAGUCGUAAGGGUAGUUAUCAAGGUGUCAGUUUUUGUUGUUGUUGUAGUUGUUUGCAUUCAUAUUUGGUCUACCGAAGUCAUCCCGAAAAAGUUGGGCACUCGUCCGGCAUGUAUAGUAUAGUGAAGUCAUUUGAUACCUCUGACCUCGCCCGGAUAUCGAAGGGAACUGUUCGUGUACAACUACUCAUUUAUCGGGGUUAGUAUUGGUACAGAUAUCCUUACACCAUCAACAAAACGGAGAUAGGCGUAAAACCGAGGACUUCUUCAUCCAUUCCCUUAUUGUUUGAAUUGUGAGAUAUCCCUCUUAGUUAGUAAAAAGAAUGUACAUCCAUUACCAUUACCUAUCUCCCGAUCAACGCUGAAGGAGAGGAAUGAAUUUAUUAAUGUGAACCUUAUUUCAGUGUUGGUGUUCGCCAUCGACCGAAAGGUCGAAAGGUCUGGGCUAAAAGACGGCUUAGGCAAAACUUCCAUGAGUGUAUAAAUGGUUUUUAACCGGUCUUUCAACGUCUUUUCUCCAUAAUAUAAAGCAUCCAUUUUCCAUCACUAGUCACAAUUUGCUGCAAAAACCGACCACUUUUUGUAGCGCUCAAACAGCAUUUCACACUUGCGAAAUCUUCUUUCUCCGUGUUUUGGUUUCAAUUCAUAAGGCACUCAAUUUACUUGCUGUUUAACGUAAUCGACUGCUUUUACGCAUUUUGGCUGCUAGAGUGACUUCCGGGGACUCUGCGAGCGCUCCUCUUUUGUUUAGCAACUUUAUUAAGUAGUGCUCUCAGAUCCUCAUCCUCAAACUUUUUUGGUCGCUCUGGUGCUUCUUCGACUUCCAAGUCAAAAUCAUCAUUUUUAAAAUCAAACCAUUUUUGAAAAAAAAAAAAUAGAAAAUCUUAACCAUAUUCUUUUCCCAGAAUGCAAAGAUUUUUUGCCAAAAUAUAAAAGCAAUGAAGAAUAACUCCCCGUAAAAUGACUUUGCAAGGCACAAUGUGGAAAUAUUUUACAGAAGAAAAAUUAUUCUUGUUGACAUAUACUAAAAAAGAUUUACAGGAGCAGUAACUUUCCAAUCCUGAUUCGGAAUAUUGGAACAAUGACAUAUCAAUCAAAUUACGUCAUCUCUUGGCAAACCGCACAAAUAUAGUUAUGGACCCAAUAUAUGCAUUGACCCAUUAUGUUUGGAAGCUCUGAAUUCGCGCUUAAUUACAAAUUUUGGUUAGCUUAUAAAAUAGUUGCAGCAUAUUACCGCUUCUCUGUUUUUCUUGCCUGUUCCACAUGAUUACACUCUUCCGGCUAAUAACUUACCGUCACUACUUUCAAUUUUAAAUCAAGUCAUUUAUCAUUUUCAGAAAUCUACUCAGCGCAUGCUUCUACAUUUAUGGAGCUAAUCCAAGGUGGCGACAAGCAGUGUGUGCACACAAAUACUGAAUCGUUAGCAUGAAAAACAUAAAAUGUUUUAUAUUGAAGUCGCAUGAAGUCACAAGGUCACGGUAUGCGAGAUCAGGGCCGCUGGAGAGUACGACAAGAUGAGCAAGCAUACCCAAGAGGGUUGUGGAGCGGUCCCACACAGAGUGGCAACAAAAGAAGCUGACUGAGUCAAAUUUUAUUGCUCGUGGCGCCGCAGAAAUAAUAUAUCAAAAUUUGUAACUAGCAUGAAGUAUGAAAAAGUUGGUACAUUACAAAUAUACAAGUACGGUAGUCAAAACCAGCGACGGCGUCAGUUACACUGCACAGAUUUCCAACAAAUGCACCGUUGCCGACUCGGUAUCUGCUGUGCUGGGAACAAUAUUUUUAGAGUGGGCUCUUUUCUUCAAACGCCUUAUCGAAGACAGUUGUACAUGCGAAAUUAGAUGUGAGCAUUAACCGUGUAUAAAUUUUGAACAAAGCAGCAAGGUAAAUCCUUACCUUGGUGGAGCGGGAUUGGACAGAACCACUCUCUUUUACACAGGAAAUUUCGAAUCGCUUGGAAACGGCAUUAAGAGAAAACGAGGUUCUAUAAGAACCUUGAAACAUUCGAAAAAGUAUUGGUUCUUUCGGUCGCGCCAAUACCGACUCAGUGUUCACAGCCAUCCAAUUGAAGGGUAUGCCUAGGUCUUCAGUGCAGGAUGCAAAACUUAUCUUGAAAGCUCUUGUUCUGUGAAAACUCAGAAAUCAAAGCAAUCGGAGUUCAGAUAGAUUAUAAACUGUUCUAUGAAGUCCGCAAAAGCGUUUAGAGCGGCGGUAAUAAAGAACGCCAAAAGAGUUUCAUGAAGAUCCUUCUGUAAAGGCGAAGAAGGGGAUUACGAAUCCUAAAGGUUUAGGCGCAUUCACGUCAAAACGCUAUUUCCGUGGGUUAUCUUUGAAGUGUGGACGGUGACUGGACUUCGAGCAGCAAGGAAGGGGCCCGCGGACUUUAGAACGGCGAUAUAGCUUUCUUGGAUCUUCUAGACGAGCAUGAUCUCACAUGAGCUUUAAAUUCGUUCAAAUCAUUCAAGUACCGGAACCUGAUGACAUCAUACCUGUGCAACUUCAGCGGACGGUAAAGGUGUCAUUCAGCUAUUUGACCCACAUCUACACGAACUGUGUAUGAUUAGAUCACAUUCCCCGGACGUGGAGACAAACGCUGAAGAGGCUUACGCACCUGCACAUCAGAGGCAGGAUAUCGAAAAAUAUAAUAUUGACACUGCCAUAGCUGGAGCGAUCCCUCAUACAUAAGGAAUAUGCGGUGGGAACAUCAUUGAGGGAGUAUUCAACAGAAUGCGACCGGACGCGCUUAUUAGUUCCCCGGAUAGGUUUGAGGUUGAAACGAUGCUAACGAACGAAUCUCAACCAUAAAAAUAAAACUGAACUGGCUUCAUGUACCAGGAGGAUUGUAAUCUCAAAUUCGCCCUUUUCCUUAUUAAGAGGCUCUCUACCUCACUCUCGAAAAUGUGAAGUACUGGGACCGCAUCUUUGAUAUAAUUGCCAUUGGUUUAAUACUAUUGUUGUAGAGAAGCUAUUGGAAAGCGGUGGGAUCUCUCAACAAAAGUAAUGCUUUUGUUUUACGAAACGGCAGUUAAGCCAAUACUAUCCUAUAGUGUAUUUGUCUAGUGGAGGAUACUUGGUAAAGUCACGCUCGCUAAACUGUUCAACGAGCGGCACUAAUUAGCAUCAGUACUACACUACGAACAACGACAAAUUAGCACUUAAUGUCAUUACACCUAUAGCACCCGUGGAACCUUCUCCUAGCAGCAUCUUCUCCGCGCACAUACCGCCAGAGAUAUGUGGGUUGAGCCGGAGUCACUGGAAAAGAGGCGCAGUGGAUUAAUCGAAUCUCGAGUGAAAGGUUUGAGGGGUUACCUUCUGUCGGAAUCUCUCAAUAAACUAUUGUUUCAGACUUCCGAACCACUUUGGUGUCUUUCAAGCAGAAGUCACAGUCAUCAAGUUAGCAGCAGCUGUACUUCCCCGAAAUGCUUGUUUUUAGGGAGGUAUACAUCCACUCCGAUAACACAGUUUCUAUAUAGUCCUUGGAUUCGCUAACAGUGAAAUAAAAGCUAGUCAAGGAGUGCAUAUCCUCACUUGGAGUAGCAUUUAACUGCGUGCUUGGAAUUGUCAGUAAUUUUAAGGGCUAUGAAAGACGCAAGAGAAAGCACUCUUACUCUAAUGCCAUCAAGAAUCUAUGCGCCUCGCCCGAGUUCAGCAAGAGUUCGUUAUCAACCAGCACUUAUACUGUCGCGAAAGUCUUCUGGCUCAGAACGGAACUUCUAAAAAAUCCAUUGAACCGUCAGCUCUUAGUUAAGCUCAGACCUCCGCAAUGAUAGACGUCCUUACUAGACAUGAUUUUUGAUCUAAACCCAAGAGUUCUGGGCAUCACAGCGGUGUAGCGUUUUUAACAGUCCAAGAGGGAUGUUGGUCUAACGAGUAAUCAGUCUAUCCCCUUAAUCAAAUCUAAUCUAAUCUAAUCUAAUCUAAUCUUAUCUAACCUAACCUAACCUAACCUAAUUUAUUAUCCCAAUCUUCAUAUAUCCAUUAUUCUGCAUUGGUUAAAUCCAUAAAAUUAACGCUUCUACAGUCGCUAAUCCAAUGACAAAUAAGGAUAAAAAAUCAUGCGCUCUCGUUGGCCGAAAAGUAAACAAUGAAAUAAAGCGAUGCGAUUGCUGAUGACAAACUCUUCGCUAAAUUGCAAUUUAAGCCGAAGCAGAAAAAGAGAUGAAAUGGAAAAGCAAUGAAAAGCGACCGCCUGAUUGACAAAGCAACAAAAAAGCCAACACAAAACAACCAACGAAAAGAUUGCAGGUUUAUCCAAGCACACUGACAUACGGGAACAAAUGCACACAUCCGAACACGACAGAAAGGCAGACAUGCGAUAAAGUCAAAGCCGGAGUCAUAUCGAAAGCCAUUCGUUGGAGUAUUUGCCACUUUAACGUGCAUUAAAGUUCACAUUAAUGUGAAGCGAUGCUAUUCGAUGGGCGGGGAGGACGAGGCGACGUUUUAAUGUGGUGCACCGCACUCGAGUGUUGCGCAAAUAAAGCGAUUGCACUAAAAAUCGCUGUAGACAAUUGUCGGUGUGCAAGCGAACGCAUGUACAUGUGUGCGUGUGUGCACAAAUAUUUACACAAUUACAUACGAAAGCGCAUGAAUUGAUGUAUGUAUGUGUGUGCUACUCAUCAGUGCAUUACCACGUCGUUUUUCUAAUUUUACAAAUGCAUAUUUACGUAAGUGUGUGUGUGUAUGAAUUCUAUUUGUGUUUGCUUUGAAAGCAUAGUAAUAGCUUGGAAAAACAUUUGCGGUUGUGAAGCGCAGCGAUUUUCGAUGGUCUUUUGAGCACAACUCUUGAUGCUGUUGACCAAGAGCACUCGUUGGUCGAAAGCGUCUACAAAAGUGGUGAAUGAGUGCAAAGCGAUUACAUUUAAAUUGAUUAUUUGAUAUUAUAUUAUUUAUUCUUUUCUGUUAGCAUUUGAAGCAAAAAUUUUCCAGUUACAAAUAAGUGAUAUGUAGUAGUAAUAUAUUAACCAGAAAUAUAUGAAUACAAUAUCUAGGAAGAUGGUUAGGUAAGGUUAGGUAAAAAUGGCUGAUCGAUGAUCGCACGUAGACUAACAAAUUAGUCCUUUGUGAUGCCAUUAAAAGAAAACUCACGUAUUCGGACUUACAGAUUGCCGAAGCGCUUUGUAGCCAAUA
rnacentral:lncRNA from 1 species